AUGCCGUCGCCUGACGCGGCAACGGGCGAAGCGUCCACCCCCCUCAGCACACGCGUCCGCGCCUUCAAGAUACACCCCAAUGUCGUCCGUAACUUUCUCGACCACCACAUCCGCGUCAAGGACCAGGCCGCGCGCUGCGGGGGCAGCUCCUUCUCGUCGAAGUCGAAGGAUGCUGCGAGGAUGUUUGGCUGCGUCAUCGGGAUGAAGAGCGGGCAGACAGUUGAAAUCUUGGACAGCCUGGACCUCCUGCUCGACCCCGUCUCCGGAACCCUCUGCCGCGCCUUGCUGGAGAAGAAGGAGCACUACGAGAAGUUUUUCCCUGGCUCGGUCGUUCUGGGGUGGUAUUCUUCUCGGACUAUGGCAGCUGAGCAGGAUACCGACAUGCAAAUCCACAAAGCCUUGAUGGAUGCCGAGGGAAGAGCUUUCUAUAUUGUACUAAAUCCUGCAAUCUACCUCUCCCAGAUGGAUCUCUGUGUUACUAUUUAUGAUUGUGUGUUGGGCGCUACCGAUGGGAGUCCUCGGCUCAACCUUGUAAAAUUUGACUGUACAACUGAGAUUUUAGAGGCAGAUAGGAUAUCUUCAGACUGUAGCACUGGUUUCAAACGGUGUUUCCUCUGCCCAAACCGAGCCGUCUGCGAUGUGAACCUACUGCCUCUUGAAAAAAUAGCUGUUGCACAACGUCCGCAUCAAGCAUUUAGGACAAUGCUGCUUGAAACACCGUCAGGCUUCGCUAUGUUCAGUGUUUCUGCGCGUCUUCUUAAGUAUCCUGAGGAGAUAUGGUCAUGGUUUACUCGUCUAAGUGAUGCACAUGAUGCCAUAUCUACCCUCGGUUUCAUUAAGGUUCAUGACAAAUCUGUUGCCAGGGAUAGUGAUGUUGGUCCUGGCAAGGACCUGGAAAGAUUUAUCCUAAAAUUCACCACUACACAUGCGUUGAUUGUUCCAGAUGCAGAUCUUAAGUUUGUUAUUGAGAAAAAACUUAAAGUCAUUUGUUGGCUUGAUGCACAUAUUGUUGAUGAGCUGACGUGGGGUCUAAAGUAUGUCCUAGAUAAAUUUUUACCUGAAGAAAAGGAUAGUCCAUGUCAUCUCCUACUCAGCAAGGAAUUGGAGAAGAAGAUCAAAUCAUAUGGAUUCAGUGUCUCGCCACAAGUGAUUGACAGAGAGUUUAUAACCACUGUUGGUUACUUGUACGAACUAGAACUUACUUCAGAGAGUCUCUCUGUGUUCUUGCACCAUAAAUUUGAUGACUGCUUUUAUGGGCGUCGCCUGUCUGACCUAGAGUUUGCAAAAGCCAUUUCAGAUAGACUCAAAUCCUCCGAGGAAAUGAUACCAAACUAUGGCGAGUAUAGCAAACAAGACAUAGUGAGGUUCACUGAUUAUGUUUUGGCGGCUCCUGGUUUGAAAAAUGAUGCUAUAUUAUAUCUCAAGAAACUGGAGAGAGCAGCUCGUAAAUAUCGUUUGGCAGUUCCUGAUGAACAGAAAAAGUCCAUGGAGUUCUUGCGAAAAGCUGAAGCAAGGGACAAGGAGUCGAAACUUGUAGUUAACAUUGAGGCUGCAGCUUCAAAAUCAAAGGCUGUGGGAAAAAAUAAGAAGGAUGAUGACAUCGAUGAUUCCAAGCCAGAGACUAGGAAGAGGGGAGUAGCUGGAAGUGUGUUGAAGAUGCCUGCUUCUAAUAAGAAGGCAAAGGUCGCAACACCGUCCUGCCAGAAGACAGGGGGCUGUCCAUGUGGCAGCUCUGCACCCGGCAAAGAAUACAGGUCAUACCCCUCCAACCAGUGA
rnacentral:rRNA from 1 species